GUGAGGAAUAUUGGACAAUGGGCGCAAGCCUGAUCCAGCCAUGCCGCGUGCAGGAAGACGCAUCUAUGGUGUGUAAACUGCUUUUGUACGGGAAGAAACACUCCCUCGUGAGGGAGCUUGACGGUACCGUAAGAAUAAGGAUCGGCUAACUCCGUGCCAGCAGCCGCGGUAAUACGGAGGAUCCAAGCGUUAUCCGGAAUCAUUGGGUUUAAAGGGUCCGUAGGCGGUUUAAUAAGUCAGUGGUGAAAGCCCAUCGCUCAACGAUGGAACGGCCAUUGAUACUGGUAGACUUGAAUUACAAGGAAGUAACUAGAAUAUGUAGUGUAGCGGUGAAAUGCUUAGAUAUUACAUGGAAUACCAAUUGCGAAGGCAGGUUACUACUUGUGGAUUGACGCUGAUGGACGAAAGCGUGGGGAGCGAACGGGAUUAGAUACCCGUGUAGUCC
rnacentral:rRNA from 1 species